UUUGGAAUGAUUUAGUUUGGAAACAUGGACCAAGGAAGACAGGGUGGUGGGGAAAGAAGAGUGGCAGGGAGAGGGAGAAUGCGUGGAGGACAAAAGAGAGGAAGACCAAAAGCAGUGGUCUCUGAUGAGAUAAGGGCUACAAUUAUUAACCAUGUUGUAAACCAUGGUCUCUCUUUGAGAGAGGCCGGUUUAAGGGUGCAACCAAAUCUGCAGCGUUCAACAGUUGCAUCAAUAGUACGGAUUUUCCGGCAAAACAACAGUAGGAUCCAAAGAUUGCCUCCCACAGGAAGGAGAGGCAGAAUAUUAUCAGAUGCGCAGGAAAUUGCCAUGGUAAUUUGCAACAAUGCAAUAAAACUGAGGGAAAUUCGGGACAGAGUGCUGGCAGACAAUAUCACUUUUGGGAAUGUAAAAACGGUCAGCACAAUGACAUGCCAGAGUCCUAGAGAAUCAUAAGGAUGAAGCAGUUGUACACUGUACCCUUUGAGAGAAACGGUGAACGUGUGAAAGAACUCCGGUAUCAAUAUGUCCAGAGUGUAAUGGAGAUGGAAGCCAGGCAGACUGCACAUACAUUCAUCUUUGUGGAUGAAGCUGGAUUCAACCUGGCAAAAACACACCGCAGGGGAAGAAAUGUGAUUGGACAGAGUGCAACCGUGGAUGUCCCAGGCCAGAAGAGCUAACGUCACAAUGUGUGCAGCACUGUCCAAUGAUGGUUUGUUGUUACACAAACCACUCAUUGGCCCCUACAAUACAGAGGCUCAUUUAUUUUCUGGAUGACCUGCAUAAUCGACUUGUGCCAGCGGUGGAGAGGGGCAAGAAACUCCCCUACCUUCGUUGUUGUGUGGGAUAAUGUGGCAUUCCACCACUCUGCUGUAGUCAGACUGGUUUGCUGCACAUCCCAGGAUGUCAGUACUAUGCCUGCCUCAAUAGUCCCCCUUCCUAAACCCCAUAGAGGAGUUUUUCUCUGCGUGGAGGUGGAAGGAUUAUGACCACCAUCCACAUCACCAGAUGCCCUUACUGGAUGUCAUGAAUGCAGGGUGUGGAGACAAUUCUCCUGAAGACUGCCAGGGUUGGAUUAGGCAUUCCAGAAGAUACUUCUCAAGAUGCAUCGCCAGAGAAGACAUAAAGAUGUGAUGUUGAUGAGAACUUGUGACCAAAUGCAGGAGCGAGGGAGGACGAGAACUCUCACAGUACUGUACAGUAUGAGUGAUUAUACUAUACAUGUUGUUGAGAACUAGAACCCUCACAGUACUGUACAGUAUGAGUGAUUAUACUAUACAUGUU